rnacentral:rRNA from 1 species
CCUACGGGAGGCAGCAGUAAGGAAUAUUGGUCAAUGGGCGCAAGCCUGAACCAGCCAUGCCGCGUGCAGGAAGACGGCCCUACGGGUUGUAAACUGCUUUUGUACCGGAAUAAACCCUUUUACGUGUAAGAGGCUGAAUGUACGGUAAGAAUAAGGAUCGGCUAACUCCGUGCCAGCAGCCGCGGUAAUACGGAGGAUCCAAGCGUUAUCCGGAUUUAUUGGGUUUAAAGGGUGCGUAGGUGGCUUUUUAAGUCAGGGGUGAAAGACGGUAGCUUAACUAUCGCAGUGCCUUUGAUACUGAAGAGCUUGAAUGAACUAGAGGUAGGCGGAAUGUGACAAGUAGCGGUGAAAUGCAUAGAUAUGUCACAGAACACCAAUUGCGAAGGCAGCUUACUAUGGUUUUAUUGACACUGAGGCACGAAAGCGUGGGGAUCAAACAGGAUUAGAUACCCUGGUAGUCCACGCCCUAAACGAUGAAUACUCGAUGUUGGCGAUAUACGGUCAGCGUCUAAGCGAAAGCGUUAAGUAUUCCACCUGGGAGUACGCCGCAAGGGUGAAACGUCAAAGGAAUUGAGG